rnacentral:rRNA from 1 species
UUUAUGGAGAGUUUGAUCCUGGCUCAGGAUGAACGCUGGCGGCGUGCCUAAUACAUGCAAGUCGAGCGAACGGACGAGAAGCUUGCUUCUCUGAUGUUAGCGGCGGACGGGUGAGUAACACGUGGAUAACCUACCUAUAAGACUGGGAUAACUUCGGGAAACCGGAGCUAAUACCGGAUAAUAUUUUGAACCGCAUGGUUCAAAAGUAAAAGACGGUCUUGCUGUCACUUAUAGAUGGAUCCGCGCUGCAUUAGCUAGUUGGUAAGGUAACGGCUUACCAAGGCAACGAUGCAUAGCCGACCUGAGAGGGUGAUCGGCCACACUGGAACUGAGACACGGUCCAGACUCCUACGGGAGGCAGCAGUAGGGAAUCUUCCGCAAUGGGCGAAAGCCUGACGGAGCAACGCCGCGUGAGUGAUGAAGGUCUUCGGAUCGUAAAACUCUGUUAUUAGGGAAGAACAUAUGUGUAAGUAACUGUGCACAUCUUGACGGUACCUAAUCAGAAAGCCACGGCUAACUACGUGCCAGCAGCCGCGGUAAUACGUAGGUGGCAAGCGUUAUCCGGAAUUAUUGGGCGUAAAGCGCGCGUAGGCGGUUUUUUAAGUCUGAUGUGAAAGCCCACGGCUCAACCGUGGAGGGUCAUUGGAAACUGGAAAACUUGAGUGCAGAAGAGGAAAGUGGAAUUCCAUGUGUAGCGGUGAAAUGCGCAGAGAUAUGGAGGAACACCAGUGGCGAAGGCGACUUUCUGGUCUGUAACUGACGCUGAUGUGCGAAAGCGUGGGGAUCAAACAGGAUUAGAUACCCUGGUAGUCCACGCCGUAAACGAUGAGUGCUAAGUGUUAGGGGGUUUCCCGCCCCUUAGUGCUGCAGCUAACGCAUUAAGCACUCCGCCUGGGGAGUACGACCGCAAGGUUGAAACUCAAAGGAAUUGACGGGGACCCGCACAAGCGGUGGAGCAUGUGGUUUAAUUCGAAGCAACGCGAAGAACCUUACCAAAUCUUGACAUCCUUUGACAACUCUAGAGAUAGAGCCUUCCCCUUCGGGGGACAAAGUGACAGGUGGUGCAUGGUUGUCGUCAGCUCGUGUCGUGAGAUGUUGGGUUAAGUCCCGCAACGAGCGCAACCCUUAAGCUUAGUUGCCAUCAUUAAGUUGGGCACUCUAAGUUGACUGCCGGUGACAAACCGGAGGAAGGUGGGGAUGACGUCAAAUCAUCAUGCCCCUUAUGAUUUGGGCUACACACGUGCUACAAUGGACAAUACAAAGGGCAGCGAAACCGCGAGGUCAAGCAAAUCCCAUAAAGUUGUUCUCAGUUCGGAUUGUAGUCUGCAACUCGACUACAUGAAGCUGGAAUCGCUAGUAAUCGUAGAUCAGCAUGCUACGGUGAAUACGUUCCCGGGUCUUGUACACACCGCCCGUCACACCACGAGAGUUUGUAACACCCGAAGCCGGUGGAGUAACCUUUUAGGAGCUAGCCGUCGAAGGUGGGACAAAUGAUUGGGGUGAAGUCGUAACAAGGUAGCCGUAUCGGAAGGUGCGGCUGGAUCACCUCCUUUCU